rnacentral:rRNA from 1 species
CCUACGGGAGGCAGCAGUAAGGAAUAUUGGACAAUGGACGCAAGUCUGAUCCAGCCAUGCCGCGUGAAGGAUUAAGGCCCUCUGGGUUGUAAACUUCUUUUAUAGGGGACGAAAAAAAGGGCUUUCUAGCUCGUCUGACGGUACCCUAUGAAUAAGCACCGGCUAACUCCGUGCCAGCAGCCGCGGUAAUACGGAGGGUGCAAGCGUUAUCCGGAUUCACUGGGUUUAAAGGGUGCGUAGGCGGGCAGUUAAGUCAGUGGUGAAAUCUUCGAGCUCAACUCGGAAACUGCCAUUGAUACUAUCUGUCUUGAAUACUGUGGAGGUGAGCGGAAUAUGUCAUGUAGCGGUGAAAUGCUUAGAUAUGACAUAGAACACCGAUUGCGAAGGCAGCUCGCUACACAAAUAUUGACGCUGAGGCACGAAAGCGUGGGGGAUCAAACAGGAUUAGAUACCCUGGUAGUCCACGCCCUAAACCUAUGGAUACUCGACAUUUGCGAUACACAGUAAGUGUCUGAGCGAAAGCAUUAAGUAUCCCACCUGGAGUACGACCGCAGUUGAAACUCAAAGGAAUUGAGGCUGAGACGNGCGACGGACGACGACGAGGGAGAGG